rnacentral:rRNA from 1 species
CCUACGGGGGGCAGCAGUGAGGAAUAUUGGUCAAUGGGCGCAAGUCUGAACCAGCCAUGCCGCGUGCAGGAUGACGGCUCUACGAGUUGUAAACUGCUUUUGUACGAGGGUAAACUCAGAUACGUGUAUCUGUCUGAAAGUAUCGUACGAAUAAGGAUCGGCUAACUCCGUGCCAGCAGCCGCGGUAAUACGGAGAAUUCAAGCGUUAUCCGGAUUUAUUGGGUUUAAGGGGUGGGUAGGCGGGUGGAUAAGUUAGAGGUGAAAGUCCGAGGCUCAACUUUGGAAUUGCCUUUGAUACUGUCUGGUUAGAGAACAGUUGCGGUAGGCGGAAUGUAUGGUGUAGCGGUGAAAUGCUUAGAUAGCACGAAGAACACCGAUUGCGAAGGCAGCUUACUAAGCUGCCUCUGACGUUGAGGCUCGAAAGCGUGGGGAUCAAACAGGAUUAGAUACCCCAGUAGUC